UACGUAGGGGGCGAGCGUUGUCCGGAAUCAUUGGGCGUAAAGAGCGUGUAGGCGGCUGGGUAGGUCCGUUGUGAAAACUCGAGGCUCAACCUCGAGACGCCGAUGGAAACCCUCCACGCUAGAGUCCGGAAGAGGAGAGUGGAAUUCCUGGUGUAGCGGUGAAAUGCGCAGAUAUCAGGAAGAACACCCGUGGCUAAGGCGGCUCUCUAGUACGGUACUGACGCUGAGACGCGAAAGCGUGGGGAGCGAACAGG
rnacentral:rRNA from 1 species